CUGUACUGGACUUUGAAAAUGGUUACUUUUCCCGGACUUAUUGUGAAAGAAAGGGUUACUUUCCCCCUCCCCUUGCCUGAAGCCUGUGGAUUCACUCCUGUCUUCAGAGCCAGUCUGAUCUGGCUUUUGGAGUAAAUGCUAAGAAGUGUAGGGCCCUAGGCUUGGAUCCCAGCCGGUCUUAGCUCUUACUAAACUAGCCCAUACUCGGCCUCCACUGACUGCCCACUUUCCAGGUGAGAGCCACACCAGUUCUUGGCUCCGGCGUGACUUCCCCUCUUGGAGCUGAUGUCAUCAAUUCCACCCUCCCAGGACGUCCUUAUCUGACCUGCUGUGGAAGCUCCUGGGGGCCCCUAAUUGCCAUCCUCCAGAGUAUCCCCAAGGCCCUCCCACUCCCUGCAGACUCUGCCUUUGGCCCCCGCUGUGAAUUCAGAGUUUCUCCUUUCAAAUUCCCUCCUUCAGUCCUUCCUACCUCCCUGUUCCCUUCUCUCAGCCCUUCUGUCCUCAUCCUUGUCCUCCUGCUCUGUCACUCGCUUUUAGGAGAGGGUCCCACCUGAUGUUACUUCUUGACCACAGCUGUCCUUGCUCCUAGGGCUGUUUCCAUAGGAACCAGAAGCAAAGAGGUCACUGGAAGGAAAAACCAAGAGCAGACAUCCGUGGAAACAGCCCCCAAUCCUCUGCGGUUUAACCAGCGGGCUGCACCCGUGAGAUGCUGUGCUCUUCCCAAGCUGCAGCUGAAAUAACCAAACUCCAGAGUACAGCAGGGGGGAGAUUUGCGGGGGUGGGGGCAGGGGUGGGGGAGGUGGGAAAAGUCCUCAGCCUCAGCAACCAGUGCAACCCGGAUGCAUGUUACAUUGUUUCACAUUAGAGCCCUUUUGUAUAUCCUGCCUGAAGUAAGUUCUCAAGCUUUAGCCUUGUUUCUUGUCCUUCUGGUGAGAAAGAAUCUAAAGUGUUAGAGCCCAGGAAACAGAACUCGGAAGAUCAAAGCUAUGAGAGGCUGAGGGGUCUUACAUCCCCCACACUUCCAAAGUUCAGGUCUCUCUGACCUUGUGCUUUCAUUAUCUAUUCAUGUGGCAGAAUAGACUUGUCACGCACGGAGUCCUCCUUCAGUCCCUGGGAGAAUCAUUUACAAACCACUGUCAUAUUUUAUGGCCCGUGAGACUCUGUCCUGGGCUGUUCAUUAGGAUCCCCCAGAAGCCAUGUAUGAGUCAUCUCAAAAUUGUCUACACUCUCUCCUCCCCAACAGAAGUGGGGUGUGCCUAGUUUUUGCACCCCGCUGAGCUGGUGGGUGGCCAUGCACUUGUGACUUUCCGUGAUCUGGUUUUUCCGUGUUUGCGCGUUCACAGAUCUGUAUGCUUUUUCUCCGGUUUCGUUUGUCUUCGUCGGUUUGUUCAGGAGAAAAUCCAGAUGACAGAGGGAAAUGUACUUUCGCCAAAUGGGGUCAGACACAGCGGAGGGGAGGCACAUUUUUUUUUUUUUACUUUGAAUGAGAAACAUAAUUAGCCAGGUUUCCCCUUAGGCUUGUGAGGAUGAUGAACACUCUCCCAAGUCCGUGUAGAGACCCGAUGAAGGAAUGACCCCAUAAAGCUGGUUAGUUGGGGCUGGAAACUGGCAUGUAGCAGGACCUAGCUUUGGAGAACAGUGAGGCUCAUAGACACGUGAGCUUCAUCAGCUUCCCUCAAAGUGAUACUGUGAAAAGUCUUACAUAUUCCUGAUAUAUAACUAAUUCCCAGAAUUCCUGGAAUCGCUACAGUGGCGAGCUGGAUAUGCAUACUAAUGAGAUGGCUGAUGGGGGUCGGGUCCAGGUGGCUUCCGGGUGGGGCUGCUCAUAGGAAAGCCUGAGCAGAACUGAAGAGCUGGGUCUCUCAGAUCUAUCCUCAAACUCCUGGCAAGUAAGGGCUGAGGGUCGAGUUAAUCAGUGAUUAAUGCUUUAAUCAGCCAUGCUUUUGCAAGGAAGCCUCUACAGCACACCCUCCCCUCCACCUCAGAGGGCAGAGCUUGGGCCUUUCAUAGAGUAUGCAGGUUCCCUGAGGACAAAGUACCCAGAAAGGGCGUGGUAGCCCUGCACCUCUUCCUUCCAACUAUAUUUUGAGAAUUUCUUCAUCUGUCCUUUGGACCUUUUGUACUAUAUCUGUAAACUCAUAUUUUCCUGAGCCCUUCUCUAGCUACCUUCUCUAGAAAAUUAUUUGAACCUAAGGAGUGAGUUGGAGGAACCCCAAUUUAGAACUCUAGGGUCAGAAGCUUAGGUAAGACAACCAGGGCUGGUGACAGAAGGAGGUGGAGAGUUUGGGGGACCCAGCCCUCAACCUAUGGUAUCUGACAGUAGUGUCAGAACAGCAGUGAAUCAAAGAGUAUGCCACUGAGGGCACACGCACCGCGUGCGCGUGUGCGCGCACACACACACACACACACACACACACAGAGAGAGAGAGAGAGAGAGAGAGAGAGAGAGAGAGAGAGAGAUCUAUGUUGACUGCUGAAUGAAUGUAGGAUGCGUACCAAGUCUCUAUGCCCUCUUCCAAUGUCUCUACUACAAGACCCUCUUAGGUCUCCCCAAAGGCCCUGCACUACCUGAGGUAGUUUCUCUGCACCCAAUAAAGGCCAACACAACACAA